rnacentral:rRNA from 1 species
UACAGAGGUCUCAAGCGUUGUUCGGAUUCAUUGGGCGUAAAGGGUGCGUAGGCGGCGCGGUAAGUCGGGUGUGAAAUCUCGGGGCUUAACUCCGAAACUGCAUUCGAUACUGCCGUGCUUGAGGACUGGAGAGGAGACUGGAAUUUACGGUGUAGCGGUGAAAUGCGUAGAUAUCGUAAGGAAGACCAGUAGCGAAGGCGGGUCUCUGGACAGUUACUGACGCUGAGGCACGAAGGUCAGGGGAGCAAACGGG